UGGGGGAAUAUUGCACAAUGGGCGCAAGCCUGAUGCAGCAACGCCGCGUGAGGGAUGACGGCCUUCGGGUUGUAAACCUCUUUUAGCAGGGAAGAAGCGAAAGUGACGGUACCUGCAGAAAAAGCGCCGGCUAACUACGUGCCAGCAGCCGCGGUAAUACGUAGGGCGCAAGCGUUAUCCGGAAUUAUUGGGGCGUAAAGAGCUCGUAGGCGGUUUGUCGCGUCUGCUGUGAAAUCCCGAGGCUCAACCUCGGGUCUGCAGUGGGUACGGGCAGACUAGAGUGCGGUAGGGGAGAUUGGAAUUCCUGGUGUAGCGGUGGAAUGCGCAGAUAUCAGGAGGAACACCGAUGGCGAAGGCAGAUCUCUGGGCCGUAACUGACGCUGAGGAGCGAAAGGGUGGGGAGCAAACAGGCUUAGAUACCCUGGUAGUCCACCCCGUAAACGUUGGGAACUAGUUGUGGGGUCCAUUCCACGGAUUCCGUGGACGCAGCUAACGCAUUAAGUUCCCCGCCUGGGGAGUACGGCCGCAAGGCUAAAACUUGAAAGGAAUUGACGGGGUCAU
rnacentral:rRNA from 1 species